rnacentral:rRNA from 1 species
UACGUAGGGCGCAAGCGUUGUCCGGAAUUAUUGGGCGUAAAGAGCUCGUAGGCGGCCAGUUGCGUCCGCUGUGAAAUCCCGGGGCUUAACCCCGGGCGUGCAGUGGAUACGGGCUGGCUGGAGGCAGGCAGGGGAGAACGGAAUUCCUGGUGUAGCGGUGAAAUGCGCAGAUAUCAGGAGGAACACCGAUGGCGAAGGCAGAUCUCUGGGCCGUAACUGACGCUGAGGAGCGAAAGCAUGGGGAGCGAACAGG